rnacentral:rRNA from 1 species
UACAGGGGGGGCAAGCGUUGUUCGGAAUUACUGGGCGUAAAGGGCUCGUAGGCGGCCAACUAAGUCCGACGUGAAAUCCCAAAGCUUAACUUUGGAACUGCGUCGGAUACUGGAUGGCUUGAAUUCGGGAGAGGGAUGCAGAAUUCCAGGUGUAGCGGCGAAAUGCGUAGAUAUCUGGAGGAAUACCGGUGGCGAAGGCGGCAUCCUGGACCGACAUUGACGCUGAGGAGCGAAAGCUAGGGGAGCAAACGGG